CAGCAGCCGCGGUAAUACGUAGGUGGCAAGCGUUGUCCGGAAUUAUUGGGCGUAAAGGGCUCGCAGGCGGUUUCUUAAGUCUGAUGUGAAAGCCCCCGGCUCAACCGGGGAGGGUCAUUGGAAGCUGGGAAACUUGAGUGCAGAAGAGGAGAGUGGAAUUCCACGUGUAGCGGUGAAAUGCGUAGAGAUGUGGAGGAACACCAGUGGCGAAGGCGACUCUCUGGUCUGUAACUGACGCUGAGGAGCGAAAGCGUGGGGAGCGAACAGGAUUAGAUACCCCAGUAGUCCCUGUCUCUUAUAU
rnacentral:rRNA from 1 species